rnacentral:rRNA from 1 species
GACGAACGCUGGCGGCGUGCUUAACACAUGCAAGUCGAGCGGAAAGGCCACUUCGGUGGUACUCGAGCGGCGAACGGGUGAGUAACACGUGAGUAAUCUGCCCUUGGCUUUGGGAUAGCCACCGGAAACGGUGAUUAAUACCGGAUACGACCACUUCUCGCAUGGGAUGGUGGUGGAAAGUUUUUUCGGCCAGGGAUGUGCUCGCGGCCUAUCAGCUUGAUGGUGAGGCAAUGGCUCACCAUGGCUUCGACGGGUAGCCGGCCUGAGAGGGUGACCGGUCACACUGGGACUGAGACACGGCCCAGACUCCUACGGGAGGCAGCAGUGGGGAAUAUUGGACAAUGGGCGGAAGCCUGAUCCAGCAACGCCGCGUGAGGGAUGACGGCCUUCGGGUUGUAAACCUCUUUCAGCAGGGACGAAGCGCAAGUGACGGUACCUGCAGAAGAAGCACCGGCCAACUACGUGCCAGCCGCCGCGGUAAUAC